UUGGAGUAUGAUGAGUUGCACUAAAGGGAGAGGCGGUGCUGUGUACUGCCAAACCCGACAGACCCAGACUGGUGACAGAACCAUGUGCACAGGGGCCAUCUGACUCCAU
ensembl:snoRNA